CCCUUAGAUGUCCUGGGCCGCACGCGCGUUACACUGAUGCAUUCAACGAGCUUAUAACCUUGGCCGAGAGGCCCGGGCAAUCUUGUUAACGUGCAUCGUGAUAGGGAUAGAUUAUUGAAAUUAUUAAUCUUGAACGAGGAAUUCCUAGUAAACGCAGAUCAUCAAUCUGCAUUGAUUACGUCCCUGCCCUUUGUACACACCGCCCGUCGCACCUACCGAUUGGGUGGUCCGGUGAAGCCUCGGGAUUGUGGUUCUUGCCGCUUUAUUGUGGCGUGACCGCGAGAACUUGUCUAAACCUUAUCAUCUAGAGGAAGGUGAAGUCGUAACA
rnacentral:rRNA from 1 species